UUCGGUUCGAAAUGAAACGGAACAGUUUGCAAGUCGCCGGCUCCGCGCAUGGCCGACUCAAGCAGACAACGACAAUCGAAGAGAUUUAGUGAUACACAAAGUGCUCUUAAAUUAAAUUUAAGUACAACAAACGUUACGAAUACAUAUAUUUUUGAUACAAUAUAAUAUUGAUGAGUGUAGUAGAUACCACGACCACGACGUACCACCAUAUCCACGAAAUUGAUUCAUCACAACCCACAAGUUCAUACUGGCUCAGAGGAUUUUGUCUACAACGUUCUACGUAAUAUAGGAUGAUACAGAUUAUUAGGUAAGAUACAGCUGCAUAUAAAUCAAACUGCAAAGAGUAAGUCAAAUAAUAAUUAAUCAUCAGAGUUCAGAACAUACACCUAAACGAACUGAUUAGGCGGCGAAAUGUGUGUGUGAUUCUUGCUAGAAUUUGGUAAAUAUGAUACAGGAUCUUACAUAACUAAUGUCUUUUCAAAACAAUAAAGUUUUAGUACUUAUUUAAUCUUUGUCAUCGUCAUCGCCCAAUGGACAUACACUGCUUGCUGGACCAGAGGUCGAAACAUCAAUACAAU
rnacentral:lncRNA from 1 species